GACUGUGCUAAGGUAGCAUAAUCAUUUGGCCUUUAAUUGGGGUCUAGUAUGAAAGGAUUAAUUAAGGAAAUCUGUCUUUUUGGUAUUGUAAUUAACUUAAUUAGAAGGUGAAAAUGCCUUUAGAUGAAAUGAAAGACGAGAAGACCCUCAGACUUAUUUACAAAUUUAUAUAAUACAUAUAUAAUUAGUUUUUGCUGGGGCGGCAAAGCUUCAAAAUUAACAAGCUUUAGUUUAACAUAUAAAACAAGUAUUAUUUCUUACAAGUUAAGUACCUAAGGGAUAACAGCAUUAUUAAAUAUUUAGAUUGUGACCUCGAUGUUGGACUAGGA
rnacentral:rRNA from 1 species